AAGAAGUACAGAUUCCAAGCCUGCCCAGGUGUCCCUCUCUUGAUGGGCUGCUGGUGGUGGCCUGAAAGACUGAGGUUUGCAGUUUCUGAGGGACUGGCACACUCACCUUUAAGACCUAUCGUUUGGUAUCAAGAAGGCAGUUCCCAAAUCUAUAGCAUAGCUAUUCACUUUCCAUUGAACCUAAGCACAUUGUGUGCGUGUGCGUGUGCGUGUGUGUGUUGCUGAAGGUAGAACCCACCCAAGGACUUGCAUAUACUGGGCAAGUAUUCUUCCAGUGAGCUACAUUCUUAAUCUUCAUUUUACUUUUAAUUUGAGACAAGGUCAUGUGAGUGGUGAAGGUACUGUUUAUUUAUUCCCUUAUAAACAGCCACAAGCCAAUAACCACGACCUCCAUCACCACAGGUGACAGGACCCCAUGCUCUACUGUGCCUAGACUAUCUCUUAAAUGAGCAUGGGUUUGGACAUUGCAUUAAAACAAAAGCCUCCCUGGGCUUGCUUGACACAGCUUGUGCUUUUAUGAAAUGCUAAUGGUAUUGAAUCAACUGUGGGACGUUUAUAUAUUGGGCUGGCUUUGAUCAGGACUCCUCACUUUCCAUUCUAACACUGAGUCCCGGGGGCCUAAGAACCAUCCACCUGUACUGAGCCUGCAUACUGCUCAGAGGUCUUGGUUGGGAUUGGAGGCAGCAUCCUAGGUGUUCUCUGUUGAGAAUUACUCUGGCAUCUGUGCAUCUGAUCAUAUUCCUCUGAUUUCACUUUUGUAGUAAUCCUAGCAGGGAGCAUGGGGCUGUGUGAUGUGCAGGAUAUCCUAACUGUAGUGAUCUGGGUGAGGGAAGAGUUGAAACCUGGGCCCCAGGAACAUCAUGACACCUCCCCCACCUCCAGUCAUCCUGACUCAUGACUGUGAACCACCACACUGGGCAGACACUCAGUGGAAUCCUACUUUCUGUAUAGCUAUGACCCACUGCCUGUUGCUGUCCUUCUUUAAAUGAUAUCAUUAAGGAUUCUUGGCACAGUGAUGUAGCUUAAGAGUCACUGUGGGUAUUGAGGGCCCACACUUAAGACCGGCAUCUCUCCACACUCUGUGAGUGGUCCCAACCUUUUGCAGGCCUAACUGAUAUUUUUAUCUCUAAGAUACUUGGCUGGUGAGCAAAGCAGAGGGGAAGGAAGAGCUGGACUCCCUGCUGUACCUUGUACUAAUGAGUUUCCGGUCUUAAGCAUGGAGGUUAGUGUGAAUCUAGCCACAUGAUGGGGCCUUUUAAAAGUCUGCACC
rnacentral:lncRNA from 1 species